GACGAACGCUGGCGGCGUGCUUAACACAUGCAAGUCGAACGAAGUGGCGAACGGGUGAGUAAUACGUGGGUAACCUGCCCUCCUUUUUGGGAUAAGCCUUGGAAACGGGGUCUAAUACCGAAUAAAGGGGGAUGGGCUCGCGGCCUAUCAGCUUGUUGGUGGGGUGGUGGCCUACCAAGGCGGGGUCGGGUAGCCGGCCGGAGAGGGGGAUCGGACACAUGGGGACGGAGAGACGGCCCAGACGCCUACGGGAGGCGGCAGUUGGGCAUAUUGCACAAGGGGCGAAAACCCGUGGCGGGGGCGCCGAGUGGGGGAUGAAGGCGUACAGUUUGUAAACCUGUGACGAUAGCGAGCGGGUAGGUGGAGAAGAAGCGCCGGCUAACUACGUGCCAGCAGCCGCGGUAAUAC
rnacentral:rRNA from 1 species